GACGAACCGUCCAAACGUUAUUCGGAAUUACUGGGCUUAAAGGGUGCGUAGGCGGCUUCGCAAGUUGGGUGUGAAAUCCCUCGGCUCAACCGAGGAAUGGCGCCCAAAACUGCGGAGCUCGAGGGAGACAGAGGUGAGUGGAACUUGUGGUGGAGCGGUGAAAUGCGUUGAUAUCACAAGGAACACCGGUGGCGAAAGCGGCUCACUGGGUCUCUUCUGACGCUGAGGCACGAAAGCUGGGGGAGCGAACGGGAUUAGAUACCCGGGUAGUCCCUGAGCGGG
rnacentral:rRNA from 1 species